rnacentral:rRNA from 1 species
GACGAACGCUGGCGGCGUGCUUAACACAUGCAAGUCGAACGGAAAGGCCCUGCUUUUGUGGGGUGCUCGAGUGGCGAACGGGUGAGUAACACGUGAGUAACCUGCCCUUGACUUUGGGAUAACUUCAGGAAACUGGGGCUAAUACCGGAUAGGAGCUCCUGCUGCAUGGUGGGGGUUGGAAAGUUUCGGCGGUUGGGGAUGGACUCGCGGCUUAUCAGCUUGUUGGUGGGGUAGUGGCUUACCAAGGCUUUGACGGGUAGCCGGCCUGAGAGGGUGACCGGCCACAUUGGGACUGAGAUACGGCCCAGACUCCUACGGGAGGCAGCAGCGGGGAAUAUUGCACAAUGGGCGGAAGCCUGAUGCAGCAACGCCGCGUGCGGGAUGACGGCCUUCGGGUUGUAAACCGCUUUCGCCUGUGACGAAGCGUGAGUGGCGGUAAUGGGUAAAGAAGCACCGGCUAACUACGUG